rnacentral:lncRNA from 1 species
GUCAGGCCGAUGGUGUGGACUUCACAGACCACGUCUCUUCCUGUGGAUUCCCACAGCUCACCUGUGGCCCGGUGAACUCUUACGUGCUACCCGAUGUAGAAAACAGCAGAAUGAGGAUGCUGAGGUGGGGACCGGGAGGGAGCCCCAGAAGGGGUUCCCUCUGGAAAGCCACACAUCUAGCAUCUCGCAGCUCGGAGCUCGCUUCGAAGCACACUGCCGUUCGUCUGUGUAUGUGUCGUUCGCUUCUCCCCGACAGCACGACAGCUCCCCGAGGGCCGUGUCGGUGGUCAAGCCGCGGUGCCAAGUCAAGCAUGUACAACUUAAGAAAAGCAACAACAACAACCACCACCAAACAAAGAACAGCACACAUGAGAACUCAUUUUUGUUGUGGAAAAAUGGAAUGUUCAGAUGAACAGGAAGAAGACAAUAAAAUUUUCUCUCAAUUUCAAUAUCAAGC